rnacentral:rRNA from 1 species
CUGCUGCCUCCCGUAGGAGUUUGGACCGUGUCUCAGUUCCAAUGUGGGGGACCUUCCUCUCAGAACCCCUACGCAUCGUCGGCUUGGUGGGCCGUUGCCCCACCGACUACCUAAUGCGCCGCAUGCCCAUCCGUGACCGGGGUCGCCCCCUUUGGCCGGCAGGGGAUGUCCCCUCCCGGCAUUAUGUUGUAUUAGGCGGGAUUUCUCCCGGUUAUCCAUCUGUCACGGCCAGGUUGCAUACGUGUUACUCACCCGUGCGCCGGUCGCCGGCG